rnacentral:rRNA from 1 species
UACGUAGGGGGCAAGCGUUGUUCGGAUUUACUGGGCGUAAAGGGCGCGUAGGCGGCAAUUCAAGUCAUCUGUGAAAUCUCCGGGCUUAACUCGGAACGGUCAGAUGAUACUGCUUUGCUAGAGUGCAGAAGGGGCAAUCGGAAUUCUUGGUGUAGCGGUGAAAUGCGUAGAUAUCAAGAGGAACACCUGAGGUGAAGACGGGUUGCUGGGCUGACACGUGACGCUGAGGCGCGAAAGCCAGGGGAGCAAACGGG